AGAGUUUGAUCCUGGCUCAGGACGAACGCUGGCGGCGUGCUUAACACAUGCAAGUCAAGGGGGCCCAGCAAUGGGCAACCGGCGAACGGGUGCGUAACACGUYAGCAACCUACCGAAAUGUGGGGGAUAGCCGGCCUAACGGCCGAGUAAUACCGCAUACGCUCUCGAUGAGGCAUUUCAUUGAGAGGAAACCUACGGGACAUUUCGAGGGGCUCGCGGCCUAUCAGCUAGUUGGAGAGGUAACGGCUCACCAAGGCGACGAUCAGUAGCUGGUCUGAGAGGAUGGUCAGCCACACUGGGACUGAGAUACGGCCCAGACUCCUACGGGAGGCAGCAGUGGGGAAUAUUGCACAAUGGGCGAAAGCCUGAUGCAGCGACGCCGCGUGAGGGAUGACGGCCUUCGGGUUGUAAACCUCUUUCAGUAGGGAAGAAGCGAAAGUGACGGUACCUGCAGAAGAAGCGCCWGCUAACUACGUGCCAGCAGCCGCGGUAAUACGUAGGGCGCAAGCGUUAUCCGGAAUUAUUGGGCGUAAAGAGCUCGUAGGCGGUUUGUCGCGUCUGCCGUGAAAGUCCGGGGCUCAACUCCGGAUYCUGCGGUGGGUACGGGCAGGCUAGAGUGAUGUAGGGGAGACUGGAAAUUCCUGGUGUAGCGGUGAAAUGCGUAGA
rnacentral:rRNA from 1 species